rnacentral:rRNA from 1 species
AACGAACGCUGGCGGCAUGCCUAACACAUGCAAGUCGAACGAGACCUUCGGGUCUAGUGGCGCACGGGUGCGUAACGCGAGGGAACCUGCCCUUAGGUUCGGAAUAACUCCCCGAAAGGGGUGCUAAUACCGGAUAAUGUCUUCGGACCAAAGAUUUAUCGCCUUUGGAUGGGCCCGCGUUGGAUUAGCUAGUUGGUAGGGUAAAAGCCUACCAAGGCGACGAUCCAUAGCUGGUCUGAGAGGAUGAUCAGCCACACUGGGACUGAGACACGGCCCAGACUCCUACGGGAGGCAGCAGUGGGGAAUAUUGGACAAUGGGCGAAAGCCUGAUCCAGCAAUGCCGCGUGAGUGAUGAAGGCCUUAGGGUUGUAAAGCUCUUUUACCCGGGAUGAUAAUGACAGUACCGGGAGAAUAAGCUCCGGCUAACUCCGUG